CCUACGGGUGGCAGCAGUGAGGAAUAUUGGUCAAUGGACGAGAGUCUGAACCAGCCAAGCCGCGUGAGGGAAGACGGUCUUCGGAUUGUAAACCUCUGUCUUCGGGGAAGAAAAUGACGGUACCCAAAGCGGAAGCCACGGCUAACAACGUGCGAGCAGCCGCGGUAAUACGUAGGGGCCGAGCGUUGUGCGGAAUUACUGGGGGUAAAGGGAGCGUAGGCGGGCGGGUAAGUUGAAUGUUAAAUCUACCGGCUUAACUGGUAGCUGCGUCCAAAAAUUCUUGUCUUGAGUGAAGUAGAGGCAGGCGGAAUUCCUGGGGUAGCGGUGAAAUGCGUAGAUAUUAGGAGGAACCCCAGUGGCGAAGGCGGCCUGCUGGGCUUUAACUGACGCUGAGGCUCGAAAGCGUGGGGAGCAAACAGGAUUAGAUACCCCGGUAGUC
rnacentral:rRNA from 1 species